CCUGUCAUGACAAUAAUGGACUAAGUCUCUGAACGAUAAAUGUUCUACACGUGCAUAAAAAGCCCGACUGUCCAGAUGUGCCUCACCAACAGACAGCAAGCAUGCCAGAAGUAACGUGCAGCUUAGACUGCUUCAGCUUUCUUAUAUCCAGCUACUACACUGUGAAUAUGCAUCAGCAUAGCAGGUCUGCAAGAAUGUCUGCCUCUAUGAUGGUGAUGUCUACAGGAACUGAAUGUGCUAUGUAGUGUCACCUUGAAGUUGUCUGUUUGAGAUAUUGAAGUCUAAACCUUCCUAGUACUGCUUCUGGAUGUCACAAGAGUAGAUACAAGAAAGCAGCAUGUCAUCUAUGGAGCAGCUGUGGUAGGAGCAACCUUUGACAGACCUUGAGCGUCUAUAUAAGUGUGACUUUCACCGAGGGACGAUGCCCUCCAAGAAGAGCUUCACCAGGCCAUCCGUUGAGCUUUACUACACAUAGACCUGAGGUGGAGCCCUGGCCAUUUAGUACUUGCAUUGCUUGUCCUGAGACCCUGAGGUCAGUUCCAGCUGUGUGGAGAUUAACUGUGAAGCACCCUAACAUCGAGAGGUCUAAAACAUGAAUAAAGACAGUUAGAAAGAAUUUUCUGUGAAAUAAAAAUCUUCCUAGCUUCCAAGGUUUGUUUGUGAAUAAAUUAAAAGUCAGAAUAGACCUGUAACUUGUAAGGAGAUUGAAUCAGUAAUCAGAAAUCUCUCAAUGAAAAAAUGUUCUUAAAACCAUAUGGCAUCACUAGAGAAUUCUAUUAGUCAUUAAGGAAUAAACUUGGCUAUUUUUAUAUAAACAAUAUGAAAGGAAAAAUUAA
rnacentral:sRNA from 1 species